rnacentral:lncRNA from 1 species
GUUGGGUUUCAGCGUGCGCCGGCCGGGAACGGUGCGGCUUGGCGCCAGUCUGUCGGGGGCCCGAUACACGGGUUGCAUAAGAAUCGCGGCGCAACGCUCCAGUCACACGCUCGCAUCGCGACCGAGAGGACUCGGCCCGCGCCUCGUAGUUCCGCCGUCGAACCGCUAGAGUGCGCAAAGAGGAUACGCGGGACGCACGACUCGCGGCCACUCCGGAGACACGGAUUCGCCGAGACGGAUUUCGCUUUAGGAUCGUCGGGGAAACCUGCGGGCUUGGAUUUUCGAGGGUUAUCGAGACUUGGCAGGAUACCGAAAGUUCGCAGCCGAGAGGUGAACACAGCCUACAGCCCCUGGAAUCAAGUCGAGACAGCGGCGAUUAACGAUGUUGGCCUCUUCCCGCCGAGGAGGCUUCGAAGUGCAGCGGUGCAGCUUGAGUGCGACCGACCCGAAGCGCGCAACAACUUUCGAUAUCCAGCAGCUGUACAUGAACAACAGACUUUCCGACUGUCAGUAAAGUGCGCGGCGACGGAGGACUUCCCCAAAAACGAGCGCCGUAAAAUAGCGUUGAGCUGUCAGUUCAGCUCACUAGACAGUUAAAGGUAUUUCCCUGAAUUCAGUGAAAGACUCGUCAAAAAGACAGCGACAGGUAUUCGCGUGAAGCAAUGCAAGCACUGCGACAGUUGGUUGAAAGUCAGUAGGAUGGACAGUGACAGCCACUCGCUCGAAGGCAGGUGAGAGUUUGCGUUGAGACAUUCACGUCGAUCUGUUCGGGAGUUUGGUAAGGUGUGCGAAGACAGAUAUACACGUGGAAGUAGAGGGAUGCCGUGGCAAGCAGCAAGGUGUGCGGUGGCAGAAAUGAGAGAACUCGAUAAAAAGACAGACUACUGGGCUGCCCAUACGACUUAUUUCUGUCACUCGAUCAAAUAAGCGAGAUGAAGCGUCCGGUUGAUACGGGGAUGAGUUAUGAAGGAGGUCCCGUUAGUCAAGCACUCUGAGCCCGGAGGGUCAACUUCAGCUUACGAUCGUGAACCUCCAGUUGCAAAGAUUCCCGUCCGUCAUUCGCGGUCAACUCCCGACGGUCAAGACCUCGGUCGAUCGGUCAGCGUAAACGUCCUCUUCCGCUCUUCCACUUCCGGGCAUCGAGCAACAAACUUCACUGUCGAUCGCUGCUUCUGAUCGUCUUCUUCGGGUCAUCGUGACAGAACCUUCACGAGUCAACUUCGUGUCCCGGUCGAUUGUGGCGUCCGGCGUUCAGUGCUUCUGAUCGUCUUCUCCAGGUCAUCGUGACAGAACCUUCACGAGUUAACUUCGUGUCCAGGUCGAUUGUGGCGUCCGGCGUUCAGUGCUUCUGAUCGUCGUCUCCAGGUCAUCGUGACAGAACCUUCACGAGUCAACUUCGUGUCCCGGUCGAUUGUGGCGUCCGGCGUUCAGUGCUUCUGAUCGUCCUCUCCAGGUCAUCGUGACAGAACCUUCACGAGUCAACUUCGUGUCCAGGUCGAUUGUGGCGUCCGGCGUUCAGUGCUUCUGAUCGUCGUCUCCAGAUCAUCGUGACAGAACCUUCACGAGUCAACUUCGUGUCCCGGUCGAUUGUGGCG